ensembl:lincRNA Gm13470 predicted gene 13470
AAAGGUUCCAAGAGUAACUACGAGCCACAGAGCCAGGACAGAAAGCCUCCCGACUCCCUGUGAGCCUUUACCAGGAACCCCUUGUUCUUCAUCAAUAAAAGCCAGCAUUACUUCUAGGAAACACUUCUAGUGUAUACAGAUCAGUGGUUGGCAUCAGAAAUGGCCUACAGCCUCUGAAUCAAGUGAUGAUUUCACCCCAGACAACAAGAACCCACGUGACUGUUGCCAUAGCAACGACCACACAUUACUAGUGCUCACUUCAUUCACUUCACCUGCCCACCACCUUACCUGUGUGUGGUAGUGCGUCUAAUUACAUCACAGCCCAAAUAAAAGACAGGGAUCCCAGAACCCUCACCCUUCUUCAUUGCCCUCCUGUUUUCCUCUUCCCUUCCCCUCUUCCCCUUAAUAAACCUUUUCUUGG